AACGAACGCUGGCGGCAUGCCUAACACAUGCAAGUCGAACGAGACCUUCGGGUCUAGUGGCGCACGGGUGCGUAACGCGUGGGAACCUGCCCUUAGGUUCGGACUAACUCCCCGAAAGGGGUGCUAAUACCGGAUAAUGUCUUCGGACCAAAGAUUUAUCGCCUUUGUAUGGGCCCGCGUUGGAUUAGCUAGUUGGUAGGGUAAAAGCCUACCAAGGCGACGAUCCAUAGCUGGUCUGAGAGGAUGAGCAGCCACACUGGGACUGAGACACGGCCCAGACUCCUACGGGAGGCAGCAGUGGGGAAUAUUGGACAAUGGGCGAAAGCCUGAUCCAGCAAUGCCGCUUGAGUGAUGAAGGCCGUAGGGUUGUAAAGCUCUUUUACCCGGGAUGAUAAUGACAGUACCGGGAGAAUAAGCUCCGGCUAACUCCGUG
rnacentral:rRNA from 1 species